rnacentral:rRNA from 1 species
UUGCCUCAGUAACGGCGAGUGAAGCGGCAACAGCUCAAAUUUGAAAUCUGGCUCUUUCAGAGUCCGAGUUGUAAUUUGUAGAGGAUGCUUCGGCUUACGCCCCGGUCUAAGUUCCUUGGAACAGGACGUCACAGAGGGUGAGAAUCCCGUUUGUGGCCGGCGGCUUCCGCCAUGUGAAGCUCCUUCGACGAGUCGAGUUGUUUGGGAAUGCAGCUCUAAAUGGGAGGUAAAUUUCUUCUAAAGCUAAAUACUGGCCAGAGACCGAUAGCGCACAAGUAGAGUGAUCGAAAGAUGAAAAGCACUUUGGAAAGAGAGUUAAAAAGUACGUGAAAUUGUUGAAAGGGAAGCGCUUGCGACCAGACUUGCCCGCGGAUGCUCAGCCGGUCCUUCGGCCGGUGCACUCUUCCGCGGUCAGGCCAGCAUCGGUUCGGGCGGUCGGAUAAAGGCCUUGGGAAUGUGGCUCCUCUCGGGGAGUGUUAUAGCCCUAGGUGCAAUACGGCCUGCCUGGACCGAGGCCCGCGCUUCGGCUAGGAUGCUGGCGUAAUGGUCGUAAGCGGCCCGUCUUGAAACACGGACCAAGGAGUCUAACAUCUAUGCGAGUGUUUGGGUGUCAAACCCGUGCGCGAAAUGAAAGUGAACGGAGGUGGGAACCCUCGGGUGCACCAUCGACCGAUCCUGAUGUCUUCGGAUGGAUUUGAGUAAGAGCAUAGCUGUUGGGACCCGAAAGAUGGUGAACUAUGCCUGAAUAGGGUGAAGCCAGAGGAAACUCUGGUGGAGGCUCGCAGCGGUUCUGACGUGCAAAUCGAUCGUCAAAUUUGGGUAUAGGGGCGAAAGUAAGUUGAUAACUCACGUUUUUUCAUGGUGAUAAUAUGGCUAACGGAUAUUUUUUUUUAGGACUAAUCGAACCAUUUUUGUUGUUACUAGGUGGUUAAGAGGCAGGCUAAAAGUGCCUGUCUAGUCCCUUCAUUCGGGGCGACACCGUCAAAUUGCGGGGACUUCCUUAGAGCCUGAACUACCGCGGCCUGCCGAAAGGUUAGGCGCAGCACCGGGGUAAUGACCUAGGGUAUGGUAACAACGUUCAGGAUUGGAUAAUCCGCAGCCAAGUCCUACGUCACCCUCUUUUUUUUUAGUGGGUGAUAUGGAUGCAGUUCACAGACUAGAUGUCGGUGGGUGUGGCCUAAUUCUUUCAAAAGGCCAUGCUUAAGGUAUAGUCGGUCCCCCGUGGAGACAUGGGCGGCAGGUCAAAGUUUCCAAGUGGAUGAAUCACCCUCCCCCUAAUUUAGGGGGAGGUGGUGCUUGGUUACCCGAAGCCUGUUGGGAAGGUUACCAACCUCAUCUUGUGGUUUUUUGGUGCC